AUUGAACGCUGGCGGCAUGCCUUACACAUGCAAGUUGAACGGCAGCACGGAGCUUGCUCUGGUGGCGAGUGGCGAACGGGUGAGUAAUAUAUCGGAACGUACCCAAGAGUGGGGGAUAACGUAGCGAAAGUUACGCUAAUACUACAUACGAUCUAUGGAUGAAAGUGGGGGAUCGCAAGACCUCAUGCUCCUGGAGCGGCCGAUAUCUGAUUGGCUAGUUGGUGUGGUAAAAGCUCACCAAGGGGACGAUCAGUAGCUGGUCUGAGAGGACGACCGGCCACACUGGAACUGAGACACGGUCCAGACUCCUACGGGAGGCAGCAGUGGGGAAUUUUGGACAAUGGGCGCAAGCCUGAUCCAGCAAUGCCGCGUGAGUGAAGAAGGCCUUCGGGUUGUAAAGCUCUUUUGUCAGGGAAGAAACGGUGGGAGCUAAUAUCUCCUACUAAUGACGGUACCUGAAGAAUAAGCACCGGCUAACUACGUGCCAGCAGCCGCCGUAAAAC
rnacentral:rRNA from 1 species